rnacentral:rRNA from 1 species
GACGAACGCUGGCGGCGUACCUAAUACAUGCAAGUCGAGCGGACUUUCAAGAAGCUUGCUUUUUGAAAGUUAGCGGCGGACGGGUGAGUAACACGUGGGCAACCUGCCCGUAAGACGGGGAUAACUCCGGGAAACCGGGGCUAAUACCGGAUAAUAUCUUUCUUCGCAUGAAGGAAGGUUGAAAGGCGGCGCAAGCUGCCGCUUGCAGAUGGGCCCGCGGCGCAUUAGCUAGUUGGUGAGGUAACGGCUCACCAAGGCGACGAUGCGUAGCCGACCUGAGAGGGUGAUCGGCCACACUGGGACUGAGGCACGGCCCAGACUCCUACGGGAGGCAGCAGUAGGGAAUCUUCCGCAAUGGACGAAAGUCUGACGGAGCAACGCCGCGUGAGCGAAGAAGGUCUUCGGAUCGUAAAGCUCUGUUGUCAGGGAAGAACAAGUACCGUUCGAAUAGGGCGGUACCUUGACGGUACCUGACCAGAAAGCCACGGCUAACUACGUGCCAGCCGCCGCGGUAA